GAUCACCCGAUUAAAUCUUUCGAAUAGAACAACGUGCGAAACGAUUGAAGUUUACUUCCCAUCAUCAUCAGUCGCGUUUUCACGCUCGUGUAAGCACCGAUCGCGGAUCGUAUGUGAAGCUUGAACUACGUUAGAAGAGCUGUGAUCCUCUCCACUCGACACGUUCAACAGGCCACAUUAAAUCACCCUCGUCUUACGUUGCGUUAGGGUCAGGAAAGAAAGAGAGAAAGAGAGAAUGAGAAAGAGAGAAAAAGAGAGACUACGCACCAAAGUGUCGAUUUGAUCCGAGAGAAGUGUAAAGGAGGAAAAGAAGACGAAUGAGGGAGAAAGAGAAAUAGAGAAAGAAAAAAAGGGAUUGUCGACGUUCUCAUGUGUCCCUACGAAGUCGAUCGGCCCCGUUUGUUCGAGCGAGCAUGUGGGCCAACAAUGGCCACUUCGGUAGCAGCCGCGACGCACUUCACUUCGUCCAUUAUUCCGUACACGUUUUCAUGUGGCCACGUCGGUGCUGCUAACGUCGAGGUAGCAAAAGAGAGAGAGGAAGAGAGAGGGAGAGAGGGAGAGUACGAAAUGGGGGAUGAGAGAAACCCAGCAGAA
rnacentral:lncRNA from 1 species